rnacentral:rRNA from 1 species
UACGUAGGUGGCAAGCGUUGUCCGGAUUUACUGGGUGUAAAGGGCGUGUAGGCGGGUUAUUAAGUCAGGUGUGAAAUUCUUGGGCUCAACCCAAGCGCUGCAUCUGAAACUGAUGAUCUUGAGUACUGGAGAGGGAAGCGGAAUUCCUAGUGUAGCGGUGAAAUGCGUAGAUAUUAGGAGGAACACCAGUGGCGAAGGCGGCUUUCUGGACAGUAACUGACGCUGAGGCGCGAAAGCGUGGGGAGCAAACAGG